AAGACCUAAAACGUUAACGUUUUACCAGUGGGACAAGCCCCUGGAAAAGGAAAUGGUGCAUUGAACGUCACAAAGGCACACGCAUACCGAUUUUUUGAUCCUUGUUUCAGAAAACCAUAGCUAGGUUUCGCAUAACAGUUCCCUCUUUCUUCAGCCUCUCUGAAAGCGUAGCUUGGUGCGGGAGAACCCCGAGGCUCCCCGCUCUGGUUUCCAGGCUCAGGGUUACGAUGUGUGUUCCCUGAAAUGCUCUACCUGUGCUCUGCAUCGGCUUCCAGCCAGUUCCAGUAUGCAAUAUUAGUUUUGGCUUUGGGAAAUAAGGUCUCUUUCACUUGGCUGGAAGUAUAACAGCAACCAUUUUAUUUUGCUUGCGCCCCAUGAAUUAAUUGGGCAAUGAGGAGAAAGGGUACGCAUACUGGGCAUCUGGGUUUUCUUAAACCCACAGUCCACCCAGCUUUCUAGAACCCGUCUUGCUCUCUGGCAAGGAAGGAGUGUGCUCUACCAGUGCUCUAAAGGGGACUUUGGAGUGGAGGCGGCAGAAAAUGAAAAGGUUGACCGAGAGUCUGGCAGUUUCCAUGGGCUGCGCUUGACAUCUGGGGCAAAACGGAUAUGAAGGAUGAAAGGAAGGCCAGAGGAAGUUUGGUUUUGCAGAACAGGAACCCGAGCGGGUUAAUUUCUUACAUUCUUGCUCUGCUUCCCCCUGCACACACACUGGCCGUUUGUCCAGAAGAGCCGUUUGUCCUUGCGUAUCUUGCCCGUGAGCCCUUUAAGCUGUCGGAUGGCUCUUCCCCGUGAGCUCCCUCUGGACGUCUUCCCCUCAGCCCCGGUGGGACUGUUGGGCUUUCCGAUUCAACUUUUCCCCAAAGUGAUGUUUUCCAGACCAUUCCUUUUCCUAAGAUCUACUGCCCUCCCCCACCCAGGCAAAUGAUGUCUGCCCUUUGCCAAGUCUGAAAUGAGGAUGUGGGUGCAGGUGGUUUAUUGGAGCAGGGUCCCAGGGAACAGGAAGGAGGGAAGAAAAGCCCAUAUGAGUAUAGGUCUCUGCUGGUGGUGCCUGCACCUUCUAGAGGUGUGCAGAAAGUCACCAGAAAUCUCGGUUAGAGGACAGGAGACUGGGCAUUCAUUUACCAGCUCCUCCCAGUCGUUUGAGGGCUCCCUCUGAAAGAUGAGAUGGUCCUGCCUUGGCAAGGGCGCAGUUGAGUGUGAAUGCCCUCGGGACCGUCUGCCGUGCCAGAGCUGAAAUCAGAGUUGGGCCAGGAGUAAAUGACGCAGGGCAUCUGAGGCAUAUUCUAAACCGGUUUCUGACCCCAACCCCAACACCAGCUCCCACAACACGAGUUCAACCCAUAACUGCCUUUUGCCAUUUGAACAAAAGCAUUGGUUAACUCUCCUCCUGGCCGUAAUCCCUUCCUGAGAUUUUCCAUGAGCCCGAAGGGAAGACAGUCUGCAUUCUAAGUAGAGGUAAACAGAUAGGACUUUGUGUUUUGGAUGGAGAUGGGUGGAGUUUGAAUCUAGACCUUGACUCCUCCUGAUCACUGUGCUUGACGCUAGAUAUAAAAUAGGAAGCAACGUAAAUGGGAAAAUGCCUGAAAAGCUAUGACAUUUCAAGUAUACUGUGCAAGAGGCCUUAUUUUGAGCUAAACAAAUAAAAUCCAGGCUUUAGGAAAGGUAAAUAAGGAAUUGAUUACUUCAACCACAAACUCCUUCUGUUUACAAGAAGAUCAAUGCUGAAGAAAUUUUAAUCUUAGCAUCUUAACAGAGGUCAGUGCAGCGCAAAUAAAAAGUUAAACGUGGUUCAAUAACUUAACAAAUACUGAGGUAAAGAACAGUCUUACCGGUGAGUUAUCUUCUGUUUAAGUGGGACUGAGGAAAACCAUCUCCUUGAAGAAGUUUACGAAACACCUCCCUCGUUUUUGUUCUGUUUGUGUUUUUGUCCCGUUUCUUUCUACUUGAGGUAGCCUCAAGCACUUUGAAGGUUUGGGGACAGUAAAUAAAACUGAUGGCCAUUUUUUGUCAUCCAUCUUGAGUUGGUAUGUUCUCCCGUGUUCAGGAGUUCACUCCUCGGUCCCCAGGGACACAAGUACAGUGGAAUGCGUUGAUGCCCGGGUUUCUUGUGCACGUCCCGUGUCUCCAGGGCCCCGUCUCCCUUAGCUUGAGUCAGUGGGCCCAGUGGGGACCCCACCCCUCAGAGCCACUCUGCAGUUGUGUUCUUAUAUUCUGUCUCUCUCCUCUCUCUCUGCUCUCCUCUGUGGACGUCCGUUCUGCCUCUCCAUGGGGGCUAACCAAAGAAGAACUGACCGUAACUUCAUAGCAAGAAGAGUAGGGACAGGCCAGGGCUUUCCUGGGCUGGCAGCAUGGGCUUGGUGAGGCGGAUGGGUGGCCAACAACGUCAUCAUGGCCACCCCUUCCUCAGUGCUUCCUGCUGGCCGGGUGGGACGUCAGUAACUCACAAGGGCCCUCAUGUACCCUUCACAACAACUCUGUACCCAUCGCUGGCACAGACCACCCCCAGCUGUAGUGGCCCAAUACAAUAACAGUCAUCUUACGUUGCUCAUGACCCUGGCGGUGGUCCCGCAACACGAGGCCCAGCUUCUGACUUUGCAGGGGCAUCUGUGGGGAGCCGGCAGGCCCGCGGGCAGUUGUCUGGGGCCAUGGGAGCGACGGCUCUGUGGUCUCGUCCUCCAGCAGGCCAGCCCAGGCUCACGUGGGCUUCCUGAGAGCCAGUGGAAGUUCCAAGCGCUCCGGAGACGAAGCCUGCCACAGGCAGAGCAUCGCUUCUGCUGCGUUCUGUUGGUCAGACUAAGUCACGGGUUCCACCCGGACCCGAGGUGGAAAAAUGAAGUCUACUUCCUGCUGGGGGCAGCUGCCAGGAGGCGCGGACGUGAGGAGGGAUGGAGGGGGGUGUCAUUGUCUUUACUUCUCAACCUUAACUCAAGGAUCCUACAGGGAGGAAGCAGAGCACAGCUCUGGGAGGUUUUGGAAAGUCGGGAGCAGAGCUCGAGAAUCCGGUGUUUCUAAAGAAUGCUCCCUGGGUGCCCCUGGGUGGCUCCGUCAGCUGUGAACAGGUCACGAUCUCACAGUUUCGUGAAUUCGAGCCCCGAGUCGGGCUGUGCGCUGAGAGUGCAGAGCCUGCUUGGGAUUCUCUCUCCCUCCCUCCCUCUUUCUGUCCCUCCCCUGCUUGUGCCCUCUCUGUCUCUCUGUCUGGGUGAAAAUGACACCGGGAGGAGGAAAGGACCCCAUCCAACUCUUUCUUGUGAUAGAGAAAACCGAGUACGGGUUGGCUUCCGGCUCUGGCUUGAUUUUCACAAAGACUCAGCAGAGCCGUGCUAGGGAGAGGAGCACACCCAGGGUGUGACAGGGACUCUGUUGGGCACAGUCACAGACAUUGUGUCAGGAAGCACCCCUGCUGAUCCUGAGGAGAUGGAAUGAUCAUCUCUGUUUCGCAGAGGGGAAGACUCAGCUCAGGACGAUGGUGGUUUUCUCCAAGUCACCAAGCUACCAAGUGGCAGCGUGGGACUACACCCCCCAUCUGUCUGAUGACAAAGCUUUUCUGUUGCCAUCCUGCCUCACAGUUAAGGACAGGGCCUAAUCCUUGACAUCAGGAAACUGCCAGGAAGUAAAUAUUGUCGUCCUACCUGCUGCCGUCCCCUGCCCAAAAUAGAGAAUGAGAUAAGAUAGGGUUUGAGGAUGAGCUCACAGGCGUGGGUCAGGUGGGAGGAAGGUGAGCAGGACUGUCACUUGAACACUGAACAGAGUCAUUCUGGCUUCAGAGUGUCCUCCAAGAGGGUUCCUUAUUUCUGGGGUGACCGUAGAGUCUAUCAAACUGGGACACUUCAGGGACUUACUGGGAGCAUCAUUAAUAAUUAGCCCCAGGAAAACAGGCAUAACUUGGGACUGUCCCAGGCAACUGGGAUCCACGGUCACCCUACCUAUGACCAAAAUACAAGGAAGGCUUGGUGACUCAGCACCCUCCCUGGAGUGGGCACGAGGAGAAGACUCUGGCCUUGGAGCCAGAUGAGGUGGGCCUUAGUCUACCCCCUUCCCCAACUGUCUGAGUCUGGGUCUCUGUACCGCAGCCCUAACGAUGCCUACGCAUCUAUUGCUGUGCAGCAAAUGACUUCAAAACCUAGUCGCUGCAAACAACGGUCGUUAUCGUUCACAGAGGGUCAGCGGUUUGGGAUGCUUCUAGCUCAGGGUCUCUCACGAGAGCUCCAUCAGGAUCUGAUUAGGGCUACAGCUGUCUAAGCCUUGGCUGGGCUGUGGGGCUGGAGGAUUUGCUUCUGAGGUAGCUCCCCACGUGGCUGGCAGGUUGGUGGUGGCGGUCGGCGGGAGGCCUCACAUUUUCCGCACCAGGGCGCCUGCAGCAGGUGGUCUGAGUGUCCUUACAACAUGACGGCCGACUUUCCCCAGAGCGAACCAGGCAGCUCACCUGCUCACGACCUUCUCUCAGAAGGUCACACAGAAUCCGUCACUUGUGCCACAUGAUGUUAUUUGGACGUGAGUCAGUAAGUCUGGCCCACGUUCAGAGGCUGGGGACUGAGACUCCACGGUUUGAGGGGAGGAGGAGCAAAUAAUUUACAGACACACUUGGAGAUCACUGUCCCUAUUCAGGAUGGAUGUUCCGGACUUAUAAGCUAGUGCUGUCUGUAGACUGCCAGCAACAGUUCCUGGCACUCGUUAAAAACAAAGAUUCUCUUGGCCCUCCAAGGUCCAGAAGCAGCAUUCCCAAAUGACGGUGGACAAGGACGGGGUUCAAGGUCCCGCAAGCCUAAGCGUGCCUACCAGACACGAAUGAACCUGAGUCACCUUUACAACUAAAGGGCUGAUGGUAUUAGGUCAGCUCUGAGGCCGCUUCAGAUAUAGGCCAUUCCUCUGUGGGAUCCGGAUAGAAGACUCCAUCUCAGUGUGGAAUCUAACACAUGUCCCCCUAAAACCCUCUGAUGAGAACCCCCCCGGCCCCCCUCUGGUGCCUGGAGCCAUCAUGGCUGAGUCUCCCUGGCCUCUCCAGGGAGCUGGGCCCCAGAGCGGUAGCCCUACUUUGGGGACCCCUCUCCACACCACCCUCUGCUAGGCCCUUUCAAGGGCUUUUACUUAAUUUGCUUCCCAGAACACUGAGAUAGGUACUUAUACGUGUUUUAAAGCUUUUUGUGGCAAGUGAUGAAAACUGGCUUGGGUGAAAAAGCAAUUUAUUAUUUUGCAAACUGGAAAAAAACAAAAAACAAAAAAACUUAGGGUUGGCGUGAGCCACAGUCUGUUGUUUGGGCCUCAGAAAGUUGUUACAGUGUCUCUCCAUCUGUCAGCUUCUCUUUCUCAUUUUGGUCCAUUGCUCAGACAGGCUGUCCCCUCAGGGUGGCAAAAUGGCUGCCAAGCUGCAGUCAAUGAGCAAUCUCAUGUCAUAAAAGUCCUAGCCUAGGUCACAUGCCCCACCCCUCGGGAGGGUGGAAGUUGGGGGGGGGGGGAGUGCCACCCACAGUUCCUGGCUCCCCAGAGGGGAUUUGUGGUAGGUUCUCACAAAGCUGGAUGAGAAGCGUUAUUAUCCUCAUGUGCCAGGGCAAGAAACCGGGCUCAGCCCAGGAGGGCUCUGAGGAGGUGCAGAGUUGGUGCUCGCAACAGAGGGGCCUCCCUCCUCUGUAUCCCUUCAUCCGGAAGGUUCCAGCUGAAAGGACAGCCUGUCGUCUCCGAGCACAGAGGAGGGCAGGACUGAGCCACAGAUGGAGGAGGGAGGAGGGCCUCGAGAAGACAAGAAACAAGCUCUCUCCCCAAAUAAGCAGAAAGCCUGAGCUGUGAAACCGAGAUUGUUGGCACUGGGGAGGGGUCUGAGGGCGCUUCCCUCGUGAGGUCAUUGGAACAGGGCAGGAAAUCUGAAUCUUGUGCCAAAGAAAA